rnacentral:rRNA from 1 species
CCUACGGGAGGCAGCAGUGAGGAAUAUUGGUCAAUGGACGCAAGUCUGAACCAGCCAAGUAGCGUGCAGGAUGACGGCCCUCCGGGUUGUAAACUGCGUUUAGUUGGGAAUAAAAGGGGGCUCGUGAGCCCCGUCUUGUAUGUACCAUCAGAAAAAGGACCGGCUAAUUCCGUGCCAGCAGCCGCGGUAAUACGGAGGGUCCGGGCGUUAUCCGGAUUUAUUGGUUUUAAAGGGAGCGUAGGCCGGCGUUUAAGUCAGAGGUGAAAGUCCGCGGCUCAACCGUGGAAUUGCAGUUGAAACUGGAGGCCUUGAGUGCACACAGGGAUGCCGGAAUUCAUGGUGUAGCGGUGAAAUGCUUAGAUAUAAUGAAGAACUCCGAUCGCGAAGGCAAGUGUCCGGGGUGCAACUGACGCUGAGGCUCGAAAGUGCGGGUAUCAAACAGGAUUAGAUACCCGUGUAGUC